GACGAACGCUGGCUGCGUGCUUAACACAUGCAAGUCGAACGCUGAAACCCUGGUGCUUGCACCGGGGUGGAUGAGUGGCGAACGGGUGAGUAACACGUGAGUAACCUGCCCCCGACUUCGGGAUAAGCCCGGGAAACUGGGUCUAAUACCGGAUAUGAGCGCCCCUCGCAUGAGGGAUGCUGGAAAGUCUUUUAGGUUGGGGAUGGGCUAGCGGCCUAUCAGUUUGUUGGUGAGGUAAUGGCUCACCAAGACGACGGCGGGUAGCCGGCCUGAGAGGGCGACCGGCCACACUGGGACUGAGACACGGCCCAGACGCCUACGGGAGGCAGCAGUGGGGAAUAUUGCACAAUGGGGGAAACCCUGAUGCAGCGACGCAGCGUGCGGGAUGACGGCCUUCGGGUUGUAAACCGCUUUCAGCAGGGAAGAAGCCCCUUGGGGUGACGGUACCUGCAGAAGAAGUACCGGCUAACUACGUGCCAGCCGCCGCGGUAA
rnacentral:rRNA from 1 species